GGCAGUGGUAGUUCAGUGGUUAAGACUUUGGACUACUGAUCAGAAGAUCAUUAGUUCAAUCCCCAGCACUACCA